rnacentral:rRNA from 1 species
GCUUAACCAUGCAAGUCGAGGGGUAACGGGGAAGCUUGCUUCCGCCGACGACCGGCGCACGGGUGCGUAACGCGUAUACAAUCUACCUUGUACUGGGGUAUAGCCUUUAGAAAUGAAGAUUAAUCCCCCAUAGUCUCUUAGAGUGGCAUCACUUCUAGAGUAAAGGUUACGGUAUAAGAUGAGUAUGCGUUCUAUUAGUUUGUUGGUGUGGUAACGGCACACCAAGACUACGAUAGAUAGGGGCCCUGAGAGGGGGAUCCCCCACACUGGUACUGAGACACGGACCAGACUCCCACGGGAGGCAGCAGUGAGGAAUAUUGGACAAUGGAGGCAACUCUGAUCCAGCCAUGCCGCGUGCAGGAAGACUGCCCUAUGGGUUGUAAACUGCUUUUAUACAGGAAGAAACACCUCUACGUGUAGAGGCUUGACGGUACUGUAAGAAUAAGGAUCGG